UCGGGUAUGGAACAAUUCAUUUUAAUGUAUUUAAUGUCUCCAAGAGGGCUGCAAGUGUGAUAUUACCUCGGAGGCUGUGCAUCGGUUUGUUGCUCCUUGAACGUGAUUUUGUUUUCGUCAGUUGUAUUUUUUUGCACCUAAAUCUGGGCACCUACUCGGCUGUUCUACCACAUCUUGCUUUUAUUGGAAGGAAUAGGAACUGUUGCCCAGGAAACUAUUCUUCGUAUGAGGAAUUUUUAUUUACUGAAAACUUGAAAAUGGACCAAGAGGUUGUGUAAUGGAUUGUGAUUGUUUGUCCAUUUCAAGAUGGACCUCGUUUUCAUUCGGAAUUUAUCAACUGACUCGUUGUCCAUCGUGUUGAAGCAGGUUGUUCCUGAACAGUAUAUAAUAAUAUAGCUAAAUGGUGGCUGUCGGAUGGACCACUUUGGGUCCAGAGGAUGUUCACUAGCCUUUGGUCAGAAGUACCUACAGGUGCCCACAACCUACGGAGUAGUGAUACUAAUGACAACUUAUGUCAACAUAAAUCUUCGUAGAUCCGGCAGAAAUUUUUGAUUGCAUUUUAUUUAACUCUGAUGGUUAGUGAUAGUUUGUAACUUUUUGUUUUAGUUUAUAACUACAGAAGGCGAAUGUGUUGUUUUAAAUGUUAGGCCUUUGACCUGAAAUGUUUAAUACAAAGGUAAACUUGUGUAUCAAUAUUUUUUCCAAAACAAAGAAAUAA